GACGAACGCUGGCGGCGUGCCUAAUACAUGCAAGUUGAGCGCUGAAGGUUGGUACUUGUACCAACUGGAUGAGCAGCGAACGGGUGAGUACCGCGUGGGGAAUCUGCCUUUGAGCGGGGGACAACAUUUGGAAACGAAUGCCAAUACCGCAUAAAAACUUUAAACACAAGUUUUAAGUUUGAAAGAUGCAAUUGCAUCACUCAAAGAUGAUCCCGCGUUGUAUUAGCUAGUUGGUGAGGUAAAGGCUCACCAAGGCGAUGAUACAUAGCCGACCUGAGAGGGUGAUCGGCCACAUUGGGACUGAGACACGGCCCAAACUCCUACAGGAGGCAGCAGUAGGGAAUCUUCGGCAAUGGACGAAAGUCUGACCGAGCAACGCCGCGUGAGUGAAGAAGGUUUUCGGAUCGUAAAACUCUGUUGGUAGAGAAGAACGUUGGUGAGAGUGGAAAGCUCAUCAAGUGACGGUAACUACCCAGAAAGGGACGGCUAACUACGUG
rnacentral:rRNA from 1 species